AAUCAACGCUGGCGGCGUGCCUCAGACAUGCAAGUCGAACGAUUAAACUUUCCUUCGGGAAAGAAAUAAAGUGGCGCACGGGUGAGUAACACGUAAGUAAUCUACCUUCGAGUGGGGAAUAACGUUCGGAAACGAACGCUAAUACCGCAUAAUGCAGCGGCACCUAAUGGUGACAGUUGUUAAAGGAGCAAUUCGCUUGAAGAGGAGCUUGCGGCAGAUUAGCUAGUUGGUAAGGAACGGCUUACCAAGGCUACGAUCUGUAACCGGUCUAAGAGGACGGUCGGUCACACUGACACUGAAUAACGGGUCAGACUCCUACGGGAGGCAGCAGUCGGGAAUAUUGCGCAAUGGAGGCAACUCUGACGCAGCAACGCCGCGUGCAGGAUGAAGGCCC
rnacentral:rRNA from 1 species